rnacentral:tRNA from 1 species
GCCCCGAUAGUGUAGCGGCCAAGCACUCUGCCCUUUCAAGGCGGUAACACGGGUUCGAGUCCCGUUCGGGGCA